CUCCCUGUGGAAACGAUGGAAACAACACCAUCUAGAUGUGUUGAAACCCAUACUAAUUUAUCUCUUCUUAGUGAUCCUUUCCUUUUUUUUUUCCAGAGAUUAUUUGGAGAAGUAAAUACAAUACUAAUCUCAAUCUGCAAAACCUAAAACUCGUCCUUUAUCAAUGUUUUAAUUUCUAUUUUGAAUCUUGUAUGUUGCAGCUAAUUUACCUGCUUCAGCUUAUAAAUCCGGAGAAAAGCAUCAUGAAUCAGUUAUGUCUUUGUUCUCAAACCCUAAAAAAUGUGAUUUUUGUGAAUUUUUUUAACACUAGAACCCUAGAAAUUUGUGUACAGAAAAGUGGAGUGAUGUAUGAGUGACGAUGAAGAUACUGAAGAAGAAGAAGAAUCUGAGGAGUUGUAAUCGUUUCAAUGAUUAUCCUCUUGAUUCUCCCAUCCAAGAUGAGUUUCUUUCCCUUGUCAUUAGAUCUUUUUUGGGUUUCAUUGGAUACAUGUUGAGAAAUCUUAUUAUGAUUUAAGAUAAAUUAAGGAUGCUGAGAUAUGGAUUUUAAAUAAGUUUUUCUUAUGGAGAUGUUAAUAGCAUACCGAUAUAGUAAGAAUCUAGCUAAAAGUUAAACUUGAUUGUUUGGUUUGUACUGUAGAAAGAAAAUUUGUAAUUGACGCUCCUGCAAUUCUUACAUGUGUUGUGCCGAAUGUAAUUCGGGUUUGAUCCUACUAAAGGUGGAACACCUGAGGUCUUUUUCAAAGAUGAGGCUAAUCUUGAACAGGUUGAUUGUACUAGACAGAAGAAUCAAAUAGAUCCUGGAAGAGAUGGAUGUACAAGUAAACCAAGUUGGUAAGAAAGUACAGCUAGGGAACUAUGAAGACUACUUGUCCUGAAGGCAGGUUUUUGAAUUGACUAUGAAUGCAGCUUAUGAGUCCAGGGUUUUGAGGGUUUUGGUGAUGAUUGUGUUGUGGUGGUGAUGAAACAGUGCGCCAAGGUCCAAUAAUGAACAUGGAAGAAACUCACUGAUCACUUGUAUGUCUUAUGAAUUCUUGUGAUGGGGAGUUAGCUUUGACAGGAUGGGGUACCUCAGACUGCGAUGUAGUAAUCUUGCCUUAACUGAAGCAUGCAUUUUGUCUUUGCAUAUUGCGAUACAGGUCACUUUGAUCUUGAUGGGAAGCCAAGCUUUUGAUUAUAAAUGUGCGUAAGCUACAGUGACGGAGGUGGGGGGUGGCUUACCCAGGCUGUAGCCCACCCCAAAAUGUAGAAAACCUCAUCUUUCCUAGCGUAGUUGUCAACCAAAAAAAUAAUAGCCCAGGUUAAAAUUGAAGUCAGCCCAUUAAUUCACAAACUACACUCACGGGAUUUCACUUUACCACGCGACUGUUUUCAUUCCCUCUCUAAUACAGAAAGAAAACAAGUCAAAAUUGUAGUUAUCUUUCGUCUUCUUUAUAGUUUUUAGGUUAGAAUUAGGGGCUCAAACACUGAAACUUUGUUGCCGUACAAACAAUCGAAGGUUCUCUCGCAACCACAAUCCAAUAUCAAACCAUCAUCUAUAAGUUCACGUAUUCACUGAUAAUAGGAUUGGCAGUGGAGAUAUCAGUAUUGAAGGAGCACAAAAUGUAGAAGGUGAGGAAGCUAAUGGUGCAAGAGGUAAACACUAAGAAAUUGAUCAUUUAUAAGGCACCAGGGUACAUUUAAAUCCCCACAUAUACAACAAUGGGGUGUGCUAAUGACUUCAUGAAUCAACGUCAAGAUCUUGCAACAAUGUUUAAUGAGCAAUCCGUAGUUAUGGCUAAAAACAGGUUGCCUCUGGAUUAUUUCAUGGGUCUCUAUAUCUAAACUAGAUUGAGUGAUGUCUUUGUGAUUGUUGUCCACUGUUUUUGUAAGAGUCUGAAACAAAGGAUGGACUAACUCAAUGUGUGGUGUUUGAAGCGAUAGAAUACUGUGUUGCGCGCUUUGCUCACUUCAGGUCUGUCUGAAGAUUUUGCUCUUCCAUUAUUAUGAUUAGGGGUGGUGCUAAUCUAUUGCGCAGAAUAAACACUAUUCUUAUAGUUACUCCCUUUUGAGGGCCAGAUUGAUUUCAUCAAAGGCCCCUCUGUCCAGGAUGGUGAAAAGGUCCAGAACAUAUGAUCAUCUUAGCUUUGACCUUUCAAUGAUGGUUGUUGUCUUCUAGUUUUACUAGAAAGUUUAUGACUAAGAUGGGUUGUGUCUUAUCAAACAGUAUGUAGAUCAACUGCCAAGUGAUCAUCCUGACAGUUCUAGUGACAAAUCAGAGUUACAGAAACUCCCGAUGGGCAUUCUUAUCUUAGCUGCAUAAUUGGGUUUCCUUAAUUGUAUUUCAAAGUUCAUCUAAACUCUUGACAAGCACUCGUUACAUGAUGGUGUAUCAUGUGAUGCUGAUGAUUUUGCCUAUUAGCGAUGUCAAACUUCUUAGGUUGCAUCAUCGAACACCCAAUUGGCAACUAGAUGAUUGUUUUAUCUGCUUGGAUGAUAGAAAGACACAUCCAAUCUAUCCUUAUCAAGAGGAACUACAGCGCAUCCCUUCUUGAUAUAUUUACAAAAGAUGGUACUUUUCUGAGCAAGCAAAGACUACUCAUAUUGUUGAAUAUUUGGGAUAUUGUUCGUACAAUAAAAUUGCAUGCUUUGUUUUGGAGUCCACUAGCAUAUACUGUCAAGUAUUUCGUUUUCACCUUUUCAAACUGUGUGCCGUAUAUGCUGAAAAUUUCCCGUGAUUUCCUGCUUUCUGUGAAACAGAUUAAACAAACAUGGACGUUAUACCAAUAUAUGUGAUUUCGUGAUAUCAUGUAUGAUGUUGUCUCCAAAUGAGGAUGUUAACAGGUGGUCACUUUGUCUGGAUAAUGUCAAUCUGUCCAGACGAUGUCAUUUUGGUUUCUUUGAGAUGCUAGUCUUUAUCUUCUUUUGGACAAGUUGUGGUGCUUGUUAUGAACUUGUAAUAAGAUGUUUCUUUUGGAAAAAAUCUUUCUUCCAUUUUUCUUUGAUUUUAUGAUGAAACAUUCAAACUUCAA